GACGAACGCUGGCUGCGUGCUUAACACAUGCAAGUCGAACGGAAAGGCCCUGCUUUUGUGGGGUGCUCGAGUGGCGAACGGGUGAGUAACACGUGAGUAACCUGCCCUUGACCUUGGGAUAACUUCAGGAAACUGGGGCUAAUACCGGAUAGGAGCUCCUGCUGCAUGGUGGGGGUUGGAAAGUUUCGGCGGUUGGGGAUGGACUCGCGGCUUAUCAGCUUGUUGGUGGGGUAGUGGCUUACCAAGGCUUUGACGGGUAGCCGGCCUGAGAGGGUGACCGGCCACAUUGGGACUGAGAUACGGCCCAGACUCCUACGGGAGGCAGCAGUGGGGAAUAUUGCACAAUGGGCGGAAGCCUGAUGCAGCAACGCCGCGUGCGGGAUGACGGCCUUCGGGUUGUAAACCGCUUUCGCCUGUGACGAAGCGUGAGUGACGGUAAUGGGUAAAGAAGCACCGGCUAACUACGUGCCAGCAGCCGCGGUGAUACGUAGGGUGCGAGCGUUGUCCGGAUUUAUUGGGCGUAAAGGGCUCGUAGGUGGUUGAUCGCGUCGGAAGUGUAGUCUUGGGGCUUAACCCUGAGCGUGCUUUCGAUACGGGUUGACUUGAGGAAGGUAGGGGAGAAUGGAAUUCCUGGUGGAGCGGUGGAAUGCGCAGAUAUCAGGAGGAACACCAGUGGCGAAGGCGGUUCUCUGGGCCUUUCCUGACGCUGAGGAGCGAAAGCGUGGGGAGCGAACAGGCUUAGAUACCCUGGUAGUCCACGCUGUAAACGGUGGGUACUAGGUGUGGGGUCCAUUCCACGGGUUCCGUGCCGUAGCUAACGCUUUAAGUACCCCGCCUGGGGAGUACGGCCGCAAGGCUAAAACUCAAAGGAAUUGACGGGGCCCCGCACAAGCGGCGGAGCAUGCGGAUUAAUUCGAUGCAACGCGUAGAACCUUACCUGGGUUUGACAUGGAUCGGGAGUGCUCAGAGAUGGGUGUGCCUCUUUUGGGGUCGGUUCACAGGUGGUGCAUGGCUGUCGUCAGCUCGUGUCGUGAGAUGUUGGGUUAAGUCCCGCAACGAGCGCAACCCUUGUUCACUGUUGCCAGCACGUUAUGGUGGGGACUCAGUGGAGACCGCCGGGGUCAACUCGGAGGAAGGUGGGGAUGACGUCAAGUCAUCAUGCCCCUUAUGUCCAGGGCUUCACGCAUGCUACAAUGGCUGGUACAGAGAGUGGCGAGCCUGUGAGGGUGAGCGAAUCUCGGAAAGCCGGUCUCAGUUCGGAUUGGGGUCUGCAACUCGACCUCAUGAAGUCGGAGUCGCUAGUAAUCGCAGAUCAGCAACGCUGCGGUGAAUACGUUCCCGGGGCU
rnacentral:rRNA from 1 species